CGCUACAGACACAAAACUAGCUUGUUGUCUCCUUCACUUUACAAAGGUCACUGCCAAACUUCCAGUCCCAUGGAAAAAGCAGCUUGUCUCAUCCCUCACCAACCUCUCUGCUACCUUCUCCAUCACCCUUAUCACCAGCAUAAGUAAAAGAUCACAAAGUGAUAUAUGUCAUUUUUGCUCAUGGUGCAUAGCUCAGACUAAUCGCACAGCCGCAACCUAACUAGAAGAGAAGCCAGAGAAUGUCUUCCUGAGUGCCCAAGAAAAAUGAAAUGGGAUCUAGUGUCUCUGCGAUAAUGUUCUCCCUCACACAACUUGAAAAGCCUUGAGGAGGCUGUUUUAUAUGUGGUUCUUCAAAACUGCCUGAGAGAAGUAAAUACUAAGAACUGGGCUGUGUUGAAUGGUAGAGAAACAGUUAUAAUAAACAACAACCCGCUAGGCUGAGGGGAGUUCACCAGCAUCCGGGAUAGAUGGUUUCCAGCCUGCUGACAUCUCACACCUGGAGUUCCUGCUUCCCUGUUCUGUCAGAGUCUUUCUCAAGCACCCGACAGCCAGCUCAGCCUCAGUGCACCGGGAAGUGCUAUGGAGUUGACAAGCCCAGGACCAAUCUCCAACUGAUGGGGGCUGGGAGUCAGUAAAUGUCUCAACUCCCUAUCCUCUGGCAGGACAAUUCUGACAGGUGUACCACAAAGUACCUCAGGUAGUUACAGGCGCAUCAGCUCCCAACUGCCCAGAUGGGAUCUGCUCAUCAAUACACCUUGUACUGGCUUUUCUUCUUCCCUGUCUCACCUUUCUCAGUUUCUCAGCUGUGCUUCUUGGGAUCGAUUCCCAAAUAAAGUUCUCCUGGCAGGGUCUAAUGUGAACUAAAACAGAGGGAAGUUCAAUAUUUCACAAUGACAGGCUUGUUCACAUACAUCUGUACUGCAGUGGACUUUGCUGAGAGCUUCAUUGAACCAGGUUAAAAGAAGUUCUACAAUCAGAAACCCUUGGAUUAUACCAAGCACCAACUUUCAUUCUUUAUCUCUGUACCUCUACAUCGCCUAGCAUAGAACCUUGCCCACAUUAGACACACUACUAAAUGCCACUGGAAUUCAAUUAGAUUUUAAUUCACCAUAGCUAUAAUGGAAACUCGAAUGUUCCCUUUAAAUGAACUGGCACCAGCACAGAUUCAAAAUCAGACUUUGAAUCACUAUUUGCAGCACAAGCAAAAUGUGAACCUUAAAAGGGCACUGUGCAGGGAUAGUGGAUGUUCUUUGUAACUCGUCACAGUACUCAGAAACACAGAUGGCUGAGGUCAAUGCUGUUAGUUCAUAAAUGAGUUCAAGUGGGCAGCAUUUCAAUGACGGUAGAUGGUGUGUGUACAUUAAAAGAGGCUCCCCCUGCCCAUCCCCUCUAGAAUCGUCACAUCCUUUGCCACCAGCAGUAGCUCCACAAUGGUUAGUUACCUUUAGAGAAUAAAUACCGGCUCAUUGACAUUCUUUCAAUAUGAGCUCUCCAUGAGCCAUUGCUUCCACAAUUUUCUGAUAUGAUGAGAAUUUAUAUUCAUAAUGAUGAGACAGAAGCACUAAUUGCAUAAUCCUCGAGUGCUGUCAUCAAAGAAAAAUUGAAUUAAGUUUGUUUAAUUGUAGUAUCAUUCUUCAAAAAUUGGCAGUCCAUCUGUGGGCAACCUCUCAAUUAACCAAGACAUUUUAUUAAUAGCGAGCCCCUGAGUGUGCUGAGCAAUCUGAAGUACACAGGAAUUUAUAGUCUACAUCACUCAAGGCAUUGACGACCACACCAGGCACUGCUAAUAGUCCUGUCUCCCUGCCCCAUGACUAGUGUGUAGCUCCAGUCUUUCAGCUCAGCAUCCCGAAAGCAAGGAAAGGCUGAACAGAGGACACUGGAGUCCAUAAUAGCUUGGACUUUGGAGUCAGACACAAGUCUGUAAUCUUUGUUUCCACAUUUAAACUAGCUCACUCUAACCUAAUAGAUAUUUGACAAAUAAAAGUGAGCAUAAUUUUCAU